AGGGUUAGAGAUCGGGCGCACCUCCGGGUAACCUCGACUAUCUGAUGCCUGUGUAACCUGGCGUCCAGGUGGAGGAUUCAGAAUACAGAUUAUAACCUUCAAAGCAAGAUAAGAGCAAACAUCAUAUCUAUCUGGUCAUUUUAACACUAAACAUGAUGUAUUUUAUACAAAGUUAAUGAGAGAUAUUGCUUAAAACACUUAGAGCAAAUUGCUGUAUUCUAAGGAUUUUCCUGGUUUCUUGUGCAUAAGACAGUAUUGACAGUGUAGAAAAAAACAUUUCACUUUUUAGACCGUUUCUGUUAAUUCUGGAGUGGAACAGAACAAAGAAGAGUUCUCCAUGUGCUUUGACAGUGAGCGGAGGAGAGGGGAGCUCUGUCUUGUGUGAAGAACCAGGGAAAAGCAAACAGUCGACUCCUGUGCUUAAAGUUUGUGAAGGCCAGUUGUUCAGGGUACAUUGUUAAAGUUGAUUGAUUGAUUGAUUGAUUGAUUCCCACAGACUCCAACCCUCCUGCUCACUCCCAGUCCACUGCUGUCCAACAUUCACUUCUGGAGCACGCUCAGUCCGGUCGCUCCCCUCAGCCCGGCCACGCGACGCCAAGGAGCCCACCUGUUCCAGUUUCCAUCAGUCCUCACUCCUCAGUUCCAGAUUCCAGUUCACAGCAUGGAUGGAACCAACACCCCUGGACCCAUUGGACCUAUUGGACCCACCACUCCAGACCUGCACAGAACAUAACGUCAAAACAUACAAACAAACAAGUACGACUUCAAUUAUCAUCACUCGGUGCUUUAAAGGAGAGUCAGAUGUUUACAAACAGUCUGACUCAGCGUUUCUCACCCCUUAGAUUACUGCUUUAUGUUUACUCUGUUUACUCUUUGUACUGCUCUAUGUUUACUCUGUUUACUCUUUGUACUGCUCUAUGUUUACUCUGUACUGUUCUAUGUUUAUAUUUGAUGCUGAUUAAUAUAUUUUCCUCCAUGUUUUAUCCAAUGAGCAGCUCUAAACUUUAGAGGAAGCUGUUAGCUUUAGUUUUUAGCUGUUAGCUCGUCUGCACAUAUGUUCAAAGGUUAACACUACAUGUAGUGUGUGACAGACGUGUGUUUUAUUCUUUCUAAAAAUGAGUCCAUGUGUGAUGUUACUUUAGCAGUUAAAAGUAAAGCCAUACGUGAUUGGAUGAUAAAGUAAAGCCAUACGUGAUUGGAUGAUAAAGUAAAGCCAUACGUGAUUGGAUGAUAAAGUAAAGCCAUACGUGAUUGGAUGAUAAAGUAAAGCCAUACGUGAUUGGAUGAUAAAGUAAAGCCAUACGUUAUUAGAUGAACAUUCUGAAGAAGCAAAACUUAAUGAUCCUGAUCUGAUCACUUUUUAUUGAUCCUUUUCAGGACGUCAGCCUUCAGAAAGAUCCAAACACACUUUAAUAAUGUAGACGACGCCUCAUGUUGAGAAGCUUGUAUAAUAGGAGCAGCUGUGUGGUGUCACUGAGUCAGUGUGGGAACAUUAACAGGAUGGAGAACACAGGUUAUUAAACAUGUGUGUAGAAGCACAGCAGCAGGUUCUGGUCCAGUGUCUCUCACUCUAACAGUGAUGUAAUGAGCGAUGAUAGAUUCUAACAUUUGGUUUCAUCUGUGAUGACUCAACAGUAAUUUAAGCCCAUCCCCUCUGUCUCAGCCAUGAUCAGCCGAGAAAGUAUUAGAUUACUUUCUAACUGACUUUAAAGCCAUAAGUCUGACACACAGGCUAUUAGUAUGCUAAGCUACAGUAGCAUGCUAAGCUACAGUAGCAUGCUAAGCUACAGUAGCAUGCUAAGCUACAGUAGCAUGCUAAGCUACGUGUUUGUGUGGUAAAGAGUCCUUUGAUCUUGAAUUUAUUGAUCUGUUUUACAAACAUUAACCACACAUUGAUCUUUAAUAGAAACAGUUUCAGUUUGAGGCGCUUCAGAUGUAAUCAUUAUUUUUAUAUAUCAGACCAAUGUUUAACAUAAUAAAGCAGACAAAAUGUUUUCA
rnacentral:lncRNA from 1 species